rnacentral:rRNA from 1 species
UACGUAGGGACCAAGCGUUGUUCGGAUUUACUGGGCGUAAAGGGCGCGUAGGCGGCUUAACAAGUCACUUGUGAAAUCUCUGGGCUUAACCCAGAACGGCCAAGUGAAACUGUUAUGCUAGAGUGCAGAAGGGGCAAUCGGAAUUCUUGGUGUAGCGGUGAAAUGCGUAGAUAUCAAGAGGAACACCUGAGGUGAAGACGGGUUGCUGGGCUGACACUGACGCUGAGGAGCGAAAGCGUGGGGAGCGAACAGG